rnacentral:tRNA from 2 species
GGCAAGAUGGCCGAGCGGUCUAAGGCGCCAGACUAAGGAGACCAAGUCAUUUGAUGACUUAUUACAGCUUUGUAGCUAGUACAUCUGGUCCGAAAGGGCGUGGGUUCGAAUCCCACUCUCGUCA